rnacentral:rRNA from 1 species
GAUGAACGCUGGCGGCGUGCCUAAUACAUGCAAGUCGAGCGAAGCGGGGACGGGUGCGUAACACGUGGAAAACCCCCUAUACGUCUGGAAUAACUUCGGGAAACAGGAGCUAAACCGGCUACUUGUGGGUGGCUCUGCGGUGCAUUAGCUAUUUGGUAAGGUAACGGCUUACAAAGGCAACGAUGCAUAGCCGACCUGAGAGGGUGAUCGGCCACACUGGGACUGAGACACGGUCCAGACUCCUACGGGAGGCAGCAGUAGGGAAUCUUCCGCAAUGGGCGAAAGCCUGACGGAGCAACGCCGCGUGAGUGAUGAAGGUCUUCGGAUCGUAAAACUCUGUUAUUAGGGAAGCGGUACCUAAUCAGAAAGCCACGGCUAACUACGUGCCAGCAGCCGCGGUAAUUC